UACGUAGGGAGCAAGCGUUGUUCGGAUUUACUGGGCGUAAAGGGCGCGUAGGCGGCGCGGUAAGUCACUUGUGAAAUCUCUGAGCUUAACUCAGAACGGCCAAGUGAUACUGCAGUGCUAGAGUGCAGAAGGGGCAAUCGGAAUUCUUGGUGUAGCGGUGAAAUGCGUAGAUAUCGAGAGGAACACCUGCGGCGAAGGCGGGUUGCUGGGCUGACACUGACGCUGACAGCGCGAAAGCUAGGGGAGCGAACGGG
rnacentral:rRNA from 1 species